UACGAAGGGGGGCUAGCGUUGCUCGGAAUCACUGGGCGUAAAGGGUGCGUAGGCGGGUCUUUUAAGUCAGGGGUGAAAUCCUGGAGCUCAACUCCAGAACUGCCUUUGAUACUGAAGAUCUUGAGUUCGGGAGAGGUGAGUGGAACUGCGAGUGUAGAGGUGAAAUUCGUAGAUAUUCGCAAGAACACCAGUGGCGAAGGCGGCUCACUGGCCCGAUACUGACGCUGAGGCACGAAAGCGUGGGGAGCAAACAGG
rnacentral:rRNA from 1 species